CGUAAAUUACGUCCUAAAUUUUGUAAUGUCUAUGUCCUCUACAGUCUUUCCAAAAACAUUUACAUACAUUAGGUUUCCUGGUGACUAUAUUGUCAGUCUAUGUGUCAGUGCUCUGAUUGACCAAGUGUCCAGGGUGACCCCGCCUCUUGCCCUCUGUCAGCAGGGUUUGGCUGCGCCUCCCUCCUCCGGAGAGGUGUCGGAGAUUACACACUGAUGGACGGGCUAUGCAACUCGAGUGCUGCGAUGUUUGCACAACGUUGCAUUGAUUGAGUGCAGUUCAAUGGCAGAUGAGCUCCUCCUUCUGGUGUGUGUGCCUUGACCACCUGGGGGCAGUAUAAUACAGACAUACGGAUAUACAGUAUUGUCGAUGGUGAUAUCUCAACUCCUCAGUAUAUUUUCACUCAUUGCGGGGGUCGAGCGACGGCUCAUAUCUAAAAAAAAAAAAACAUGUUUUCAGUCUAAAGCAGAACUAAAGAAAUUUGCCUCACUGGUCCAAUACAUUUGGAGGAGACUUUACAACCCAGCAGAUGAGAACAAUACAACAUUUAAUUGUGCGUUAUUUAAAGAGUGACUUUGGCAAACAACCUUCAUAUGAAUGCACAUUGUGUCCAAGAUUGCAAUACAAAACAGCAGUGCAAUGUGAAUAAAGGCAAUU